rnacentral:rRNA from 1 species
CCUACGGGAGGCAGCAGUGAGGAAUAUUGGUCAAUGGACGAGAGUCUGAACCAGCCAAGUAGCGUGAAGGAUGACUGCCCUAUGGGUUGUAAACUUCUUUUAUAUGGGAAUAAAACGUUCCACGUGUGGGAUUUUGUAUGUACCAUAUGAAUAAGGAUCGGCUAACUCCGUGCCAGCAGCCGCGGUAAUACGGAGGAUCCGAGCGUUAUCCGGAUUUAUUGGGUUUAAAGGGAGCGUAGGUGGAUUGUUAAGUCAGUUGUGAAAGUUUGCGGCUCAACCGUAAAAUUGCAGUUGAAACUGGCAGUCUUGAGUACAGUAGAGGUGGGCGGAAUUCGUGGUGUAGCGGUGAAAUGCUUAGAUAUCACGAAGAACUCCGAUUGUGAAGGCAGUUCACUGGACUGCAACUGACACUGAGGCUCGAAAGUGUGGGUAUCAAACAGGAUUAGAUACCCCGGUAGUC